rnacentral:rRNA from 1 species
UACAGAGGUCUCAAGCGUUGUUCGGAUUCAUUGGGCGUAAAGGGUGCGUAGGCGGCGCGAUAAGUCGGGUGUGAAAUCUCGGAGCUUAACUCCGAAACUGCAUUCGAUACUGGCGUGCUUGAGGACUGGAGAGGAGACUGGAAUUCAUGGUGUAGCAGUGAAAUGCGUAGAGAUCAUGAGGAAGACCAGUGGCGAAGGCGGGUCUCUGGACAGUUCCUGACACUGAGACACGAAGGCCAGGGGAGCAAACGGG